rnacentral:tRNA from 1 species
UCCUCUGUAGUUCAGUCGGUAGAACGGCGGACUGUUAAUCCGUAUGUCACUGGUUCGAGUCCAUUCAGAGGAGCCA